UACGUAGGGUGCAAGCGUUAAUCGGAAUUACUGGGCGUAAAGCGUGCGCAGGCGGUUGUGCAAGACCGAUGUGAAAUUCCCGGGCUUAACCUGGGAAUGGCAUUGGUGACUGCACGGCUAGAGUGUGUCAGAGGGGGGUAGAAUUCCACGUGUAGCAGUGAAAUGCGUAGAGAUGUGGAGGAAUACCGAUGGCGAAGGCAGCCCCCUGGGAUAACACUGACGCUCAUGCACGAAAGCGUGGGGAGCAAACAGG
rnacentral:rRNA from 1 species